GAUAGCGUCAGAAAUUCAGAGUAAAGUCACAUCCUAUCAGACCUCAAUUUAUUUCAGCAAGGUGCAAGUUUAAGACGUGAAGAAUGGAUAACAAUAGAGGCUCCGCAAACUUGAAUGACGAACAAAAAAAUUCCUUGGAGAAAGCCACUCCAGCCUGUGUUACUACCCAGAGCAACAAAGAGGCAAAGCUUUAUGUGGUACCAGAGCUAAAAACACUAGCUUUGCUCCGCAUACUCAAUUCCCUGCAAAUGAAACAAGAAACAGAGGCCUUGAAAAGUAAAGCCGGAGAUGAAAGUAGAAAGUAAUGCGUGAUGCUCACAACGUUGCUAAAUUUUCAUUUAUCCUCAGUAGCCUCAUCAUUUGGUUUUCCUACUACUUCAGAGCAACGAACAUUGUCGGGGUAUAGUUAUAUAUACCAGGAUUACUGUCUUAGUCGGGAACUCAAUCAUGAAAGUCACCACCUACCUACUUUUUCAUUUUCUGCCUGUGUAAAGAUGCAGCUGGUUGAUAUUUUAUUUUUUAAUUUUUAUUUUUCUUGCUGUCUUAGUAAGUGUUUAAAUUAGCUAGUUGCUAAUGACUAGCUCAGGUGUCAAUGAACAGACCUGCGUAACAGUGUUUUGUCCAUGGAGGAAGGCAUAGUUUUGAAUAAUAAUAAUUGAUAAAUACUUUUAAAUAAAGUCUGAGAUCAUUUGA